UACAGAGGGGGCAAGCGUUGUUCGGAAUUACUGGGCGUAAAGGGCGCGUAGGCGGCCUGUUAAGUCGGACGUGAAAUCCCUCGGCUCAACCGGGGAACUGCGUCCGAUACUGGCGGGCUUGAAUUCGGGAGAGGGAUGUGGAAUUCCAGGUGUAGCGGUGAAAUGCGUAGAUAUCUGGAGGAACACCGGUGGCGAAAGCGGCUCACUGGAUCGAAACUGACGCUGAGGUGCGAAAGCUAGGGUAGCAAACGGG
rnacentral:rRNA from 1 species